rnacentral:rRNA from 1 species
GAUCAGCCAUGCCGCGUGCAGGAGACGGCCCUAUGGGUUGUAAACUGCUUUUAUUUGGGAAAAAACCUUCCUACGUGUAGGAGGUUGACGGUACUGUACGAAUAAGGACCGGCUAACUCCGUGCCAGCAGCCGCGGUAAUACGGAGGGUCCGAGCGUUAUCCGGAAUCAUUGGGUUUAAAGGGUCCGCAGGCGGAUUUUUAAGUCAGUGGUGAAAUCCUACAGCUCAACUGUAGAACUGCCAUUGAUACUGGAAGUCUUGAAUUCCGUUGAAGUGGGUGGAAUGUGUAGUGUAGCGGUGAAAUGCAUAGAUAUUACACAGAACACCGAUUGCGAAGGCAGCUUACUAUGCCUGAAUUGACGCUGAGGGACGAAAGCGUGGGGAGCGAACAGGAUUAGAUACCCUGGUAGUCCACGCCGUAAACGAUGAUUACUCGCUGUUGGCGAUAUACUGUCUGAGACUAAGCGAAAGUGAUAAGUAAUCCACCUGGGGAGUACGAUCGCAAGGGUGAAACU